rnacentral:lncRNA from 10 species
CACAGCUGCUCAAACAAGAGCCCAGACUUGCCGCUACAGGACAUCAGAGUCACUCAGGACCCCCAAGAACUCAAAAGAAUGCAAUCACUUGUCUCCUAUCUACCCAUGACCUGGAAGCCCCCUCCACGCUUUGAGUCAUCCUGCCUUUGCUUCAAGUUUUCCCGCCUUUCCAGACUGAACCAAUGUUCAUCUUGCAUAUGUUGAUUGAUGUCUCAUGUCUGCCUAAAAUGUAUAAAACCAAACUGUGCUCUGACCACCUUGCACACAUAUCACCAGGACCUCCUGAGGCUGUGUCACGGGUGCACAUCCUUAAUCUUGGCAAAAUAAACUUUCUAAAUUAACUGAGAC